GUCUGAGCGCAGCCUGAUCAGCCAUGCCGCGUGUGUGAAGAAGGCCUUUUGGUUGUAAAGCACUUUUGUCGAGGAGGAGGCUACUUUGAUUAAUACUCUGGGAUAGUGAACGUUCCUCACAAAAUAGGCCCCGGCUAAUUCUGUGCCACCACCCGCGGAAAUACUAAGGGCGCGAGCGUUAUUCGAAUUUACGGGGCGAAAAGCGGGCGUAGGCGGUUUUUUAAAUCGAAUGUAAAUCCCCUGACUUUACCUUAGAAUUUGCUUUCGAAACGGGGAAGUUAAAGGUGGGGAGAGGAUGUAAAAUUUCCAGGUGUAGCGUGAAAAUGCGUAGGAUCUGGAAAAAUACCGAUGGCGAGGCCCCCCUGGGGCCUAAUACUGACGCUGACGUAAAAACGCAUGGAGAGCACACAGAUAUUAUACCCCGUGGUACUCCAUGCCAUACAAUAUGUCCACUAUGCUGUGGAUCCUUUGACGCUUUAACGGCGCUACUAACUGAAUAUGAACACCGGCUGAGGAGUACCGCCACAUUACUACUCCUCGAUGUAAUUUGGCGG
rnacentral:rRNA from 1 species